UACAGAGGGUGCAAGCGUUGUUCGGAAUUACUGGGCGUAAAGCGUGUGUAGGUGGUUGUCCAAGUUGGAUGUGAAAGCCUUGAGCUCAACUCAAGAAAUGCAUUCAGGACUGGAUGGCUAGAGGACCGGAGAGGAUAGUGGAAUUCCCAGUGUAGUGGUGAAAUACGUAGAGAUUGGGAAGAACACCAGUGGCGAAGGCGGCUAUCUGGACGGUUUCUGACACUAAGACUCGAAAGCGUGGGGAGCAAACAGG
rnacentral:rRNA from 1 species